rnacentral:rRNA from 1 species
UACGAAGGGGGCUAGCGUUGUUCGGAAUUACUGGGCGUAAAGCGAGUGUAGGCGGUUUUCCUAGUCAGGUGUGAAAGCCCUUAGCUCAACUCAAGAAAUGCACUUGAUACUGGGCGACUAGAGGACCGGAGAGGAAAGUGGAAUUCCCAGUGUAGUGGUGAAAUGCGUAGAGAUUGGGAAGAACACCAGUGGCGAAGGCGGCUAUCUGGACGGUUACUGACGC